CCUACGGGAGGCAGCAGUGAGGAAUAUUGGUCAAUGGGCUUACGCCUGAACCAGCCAAGUCGCGUGAGGGAAGACUGCCCUAUGGGUUGUAAACCUCUUUUGUAAGGGAGCAACGCCGGCUACGUGUAGCCGGACUGAGAGUACCUGAAGAAAAAGCAUCGGCUAACUCCGUGCCAGCAGCCGCGGUAAUACGGAGGAUGCGAGCGUUAUCCGGAUUUAGUGGGUUUAAAGGGUGCGUAGGCGGAAUGCCAAGUCAGCGGUAAAAUCACGGGUCUCAACCUCGAUCCGACGUUGAAACUGGCUGUCUUGAGUGGUCGAGAAGUGUGCGGAAUGCGUGGUGUAGCGGUGAAAUGCAUAGAUAUCACGAAGAACUCCGAUUGCGAAGGCAGCAUACCGGCGCCCAACUGACGCUGAAGCACGAAAGCGUGGGUAUCGAACAGGAUUAGAUACCCGAGUAGUC
rnacentral:rRNA from 1 species